UGAUAGGCUUUAUAGUGUGUGAAUGUCAUCCUCCUUCUAAGAUAAUUUUGACCUCCGCUUCUUAGCACAGCCAUGAAUUAAAGGUAGUACUGCUCCCUUUUUACACUAAGGUAUGAACACAUUCAUUUUCAUGAGCAAGACUAAAACCUGUGUUCCUGAAGAGCUUUAAAAGAACUGGAACUAACUACAUAUUCAAAGGAACUUAUGAGCUUGUUUCAAGUCUCACCC